rnacentral:lncRNA from 1 species
CCGCCUCACCUGUGGCCAUUCUUGCUGAUGAUCAUGACCCUUUAGCUCUGACACCGCUGCGUCUUUACCUACAGACUCCCCACCUGGUAAAUCUGAAUGAGGACCCCUUGAUGUCUGAAUGCCUUCUCUACCACAUCAAAGAUGGCGUCACCAGGUAAACACUUUAGUACCCUUCAGGGUGGUGAGUGACUGCAGGCAGACUGACACACUGACCAUUGUGGCUCUCUCUUUGGUGGCCACCGCAGAUUCUCUAGGUCUCUGGACGACAGCCUCUCUGAUGGCUUUCAGCCCUUUUUCUUUCCAAAGGUUUUAUGUUUAUUUAUGUGCCUGUGUCUGCAUCAGGGGAUGCCGAAUGCGUGCAGGUGCCCACCUAGGCCAAAGGAGGCACUGGAUUCCUGAAGCUGGAGUUAUGGCUGCCUGACCUGGGUACUGGCAACCAAAUUCAGAUCUCCUUAAGAGCAGUACAUGUGGCUGUGUGACUGGACAUGGUGGUGCACAUCUUUAAUUCCAGCAUUUGAGAGGCAGAGGCAGUUGUAUUUACAGAAUGAGUCCAGGAUGGCCAGGGCUAUUGCAGAGAAACUCUGUGUCCAAAAGAAAAAAAAAA